rnacentral:rRNA from 1 species
GGUUAAGCGACUAAGCGUACACGGUGGAUGCCCUGGCAGUCAGAGGCGAUGAAGGACGUGCUAAUCUGCGAUAAGCGCCGGUAAGGUGAUAUGAACCGUUAUAACCGGCGAUUUCCGAAUGGGGAAACCCAGUGUGACUCGUCACACUAUCAUUAACUGAAUCCAUAGGUUAAUGAGGCGAACCGGGGGAACUGAAACAUCUAAGUACCCCGAGGAAAAGAAAUCAACCGAGAUUCCCCCAGUAGCGGCGAGCGAACGGGGAGGAGCCCAGAGCCUGAAUCAGCAUGUGUGUUAGUGGAAGCGUCUGGAAAGGCGCGCGAUACAGGGUGACAGCCCCGUACACAAAAGCGCAUGUGCUGUGAGCUCGAUGAGUAGGGCGGGACACGUGGUAUCCUGUCUGAAUAUGGGGGGACCAUCCUCCAAGGCUAAAUACUCCUGACUGACCGAUAGUGAACCAGUACCGUGAGGGAAAGGCGAAAAGAACCCCGGCGAGGGGAGUGAAAAAGAACCUGAAACCGUGUACGUACAAGCAGUGGGAGCACCCUUUGG